rnacentral:rRNA from 1 species
GACGAACGCUGGCGGCGUGCUUAACACAUGCAAGUCGAACGGAAAGGCCCCUUUGGGGGUACUCGAGUGGCGAACGGGUGAGUAACACGUGAGUAACCUGCCCUUGACUUCGGGAUAACUUCAGGAAACUGGGGCUAAUACCGGAUAGGAAUCCUUGCUGCAUGGUGGGGGUUGGAAAGCUUCGGCGGUUUUGGAUGGACUCGCGGCUUAUCAGCUUGUUGGUGGGGUAGUGGCUUACCAAGGCUUUGACGGGUAGCCGGCCUGAGAGGGCGACCGGCCACAUUGGGACUGAGAUACGGCCCAGACUCCUACGGGAGGCAGCAGUGGGGAAUAUUGCACAAUGGGCGGAAGCCUGAUGCAGCAACGCCGCGUGCGGGUUGACGGCCUUCGGGUUGUAAACCGCUUUCAGCAGGGGCGAAGCUUGUGGUGACGGUACCUGCAGAAGAAGCACCGGCUAACUACGUG